rnacentral:rRNA from 1 species
GACGAACGCUGGCGGCGUGCUUAACACAUGCAAGUCGAACGAAGUGGCGAACGGGUGAGUAACGCGUAAUCAACCUGCCCUUCAGAGGGGGAUAACAGUUGGCAACGACUGCUAAUACCGCAUACUGACGGUGGGGAUUGCGUCUGGUUAGCUAGUUGGAGGGGUAACGGCCCACCAAGGCGAGAAUCAGGAGCCGGGUUGAGAGGAGGAACGGCCAAAUUGGGAAUGGGGAAAGGCCCAGACUCCUACGGGAGGCAGCAGGGGGGAAUCUGCCGCAAUGGACGAAAAGCUGACGGAGCAACGCCGCGUGAGUGAUGACGGCCUUCGGGUUGUAAAGCUCUGUUAAUCGGGACGCGGUACCGGAAUAGAAAGCCACGGCUAACUACGUGCCAGCAGCCGCGGUAAUAC